rnacentral:rRNA from 1 species
UGGGGAAUAUUGGACAAUGGGCGAAAGCCUGAUCCAGCCAUGCCGCGUGUGUGAAGAAGGUCUUCGGAUUGUAAAGCACUUUAAGUUGGGAGGAAGGGCAGUAAGCUAAUACCUUGCUGUUUUGACGUUACCGACAGAAUAAGCACCGGCUAACUUCGUGCCAGCAGCCGCGGUAAUACGAAGGGUGCAAGCGUUAAUCGGAAUUACUGGGCGUAAAGCGCGCGUAGGUGGUUCGUUAAGUUGGAUGUGAAAGCCCCGGGCUCAACCUGGGAACUGCAUCCAAAACUGGCGAGCUGGAGUACGGUAGAGGGUGGUGGAAUUUCCUGUGUAGCGGUGAGAUGCGUAGAUAUAGGAAGGAACACCAGUGGCGAAGGCGACCACCUGGACUGAUACUGACACUGAGGUACGAAAGCGUGGGGAGCAAACAGGAUUAGAUACCCUGGUAGUCCACGCCGUAAACGAUGUCAACUAGCCGUUGGGUUCCUUGAGAGCUUAGUGGCGCAGCUAACGCAUUAAGUUGACCGCCUGGGGAGUACGGCCGCAAGGUUAAAACUCAAAGG